CUGGUCCUAUAGGUUAAUACUGUCUUAAUAACCUGUCCAUUCUCUGGUCCUAUAGGUUAAUACUGUCUUAAUAACCUGUCCAUUCUCUGGUCCUAUAGGUUAAUACUGUGUUAAUAACCUGUCCAUUCUCUGGUCCUAUAGGUUAAUACUGUCUUAAUAACCUGUCCAUUCUCUGGUCC